UACAGAGGCCCCGAGCCGUUAGGCGGAAUCACUGGGCUUAAAGCGUGUGUAGGUGGAUGCCUAAGUACCUUGUGAAAUCCCACGGCUUAACCGUGGAAUUGCUGGGUAUACUGGGUGUCUUGAGCCACUCAGGGGCUACCGGAACAAAUGGUGGAGCGGUGAAAUGCGUAGAUAUCAUUUGGAACGCCAAUGGUGAAAACAGGUAGCUGGGGGUGUGCUGACACUGAGACACGAAAGCCAGGGGAGCAAACGGG
rnacentral:rRNA from 1 species